GCCACUUCCUCCUCUUUUCCUCAUCUUUCCUCUUCUCUCUGUGAGCAACGAAGGAGAGAAACCCCACAGUACGCCUCCACCUUGCCAUGGCGCCGGCGUUUCAGACCGCCCCUCGUCGAUCCAAGACCACCUGGAGAACCUCCUCGUCUCCCUGGUCAUCCUCGUGCAAGGAAUCGGAGCAGGAGGUCCUCAAUCGAGCGCAAACUCGCCGAUUCCGUCCUCAACUCCGGCGAAGAAAUUGUCAAUUCCGGCCGCCAUCGUCCUCCUCCGGCCAAACCGACCACACCUCCGCCUUCCCCGCGUCGAGCCGCACCCCCGACGCCAUCUCUCCCAUCCUGGUUCGUCCCGUCUCCAUCGUCCCCGAGUUCGUCUGCAAGUGUCCGCCAUGGCUUCCAGUUCUGAGCACCGCCUCCCGUGGUUCAAGUCGAUACGGGCCUUUUCCUUGACACGAUCAGACCAACAGCCCAGUGAUCCAGAUCUGCCAAUGGGCCUGGCCCGAGAUCUGUCGGCUCAGUCCGUCGCCCGCCGCGCGGCCAGAAGCUAUCUGUCGCCCGCAGCAGGCCAGAUCCGGCCCAGGACACAGCAGCAUUUGCUUCUUUCCGGAUAGGAUCACGAAGUGGUGAUGUGAGAUACGACGAGUUCUCCGACAAGUUCUUUGCAGCUUUCACAGGCGAGCCCUCUCUCUUCACCUACUCUCCCUCGCAUUGCUAUCCUUAUGUUGCGCUUCUUUAUCGAGUCACGUCUCCUAUUCCACUUGUUUACCAUAAUAAUCCUAUAUAUAUCAUUCCUUACCCAUAGCCGUUGCUUGAUGUUUGAGCCUUGCGAGUCGUAGGCGUGUUUAGGCUCUGAUGUUUAUCUCGAUCUGUUAUCGGGAUAUGUUGGGUUGUUGGGAGGUUAUCACAUGCUACAUCAGUUACUCAUGCUUUACUUAUUGUUAACAACUAAAAUUGUAAGCAGAGGCAUCUGUGAGCCCCUUUGCGAAAGCAUCGGAACUUUGACUCGCUAAUGUCCCCUAGGACCCGAGUUCUUGUUAUCUGUUCCGAGAUUGAGCGCUCUACCCGUACGUGGGGACAUUUAUUGUGACCCCCCUCACCCAUUACCUUUUCUCAAGUCAGUUGAAAAGGGGGCCACAACCUUGGUUUUAUUUGCCUAUGCCAUGUAUGCCAUGCUUUACUUACUGUUGCCUUCGGGUGUUUACUUCCCGUUGCCUUCGGGUGUUUAUAUUCUGUACUGUACCCCGCGGGACGUUUAGCGAAGCGUGUGGUUCGCACGCCUAGCCGCCGUCGCAAACCCUGAGUCCGUCUCGGAGUACGGCCGGACUUCGUCACGGGUAGCUUAGUCGGGUGGCCCCCCUAGACUUUCUUGUUGAACUGGGAACGGUCUUGUUGUGAGACAUCCACCUGUCAUAAGUGGGUCGAGCAUGCGUAUGGUUACAUUUGGACAACCCCUGCAGGGUGUACAUCUUAUCGAUAAGCCGUGUCCGCGGUUAUGGACGACUUGGAAUUGUAUAGCUCGAUCAUAGAACAACUUACACCUUUAUGUUGUUGAUAAUAAUUUGCUAAUAACUUGAUUAGUAAUAUAGCAUUACUACAACCGAUACCUAAUAAAACUUGUCCACCGUUGAGUGCCUUUUACAUUGCCUCUUCGCUUUGUUGAAGGGGAUAUGUGUAAUCAGCUGGGUUAUGUUUGUGUAGUAUUUAUCUGUUACCUUGUGCGCUCUCUUAUCUUCUCUGAGUAGACGGAUGUUGUAGCGUGUCUCUAUUGGUUAUAGUUUUGUUGCCGCUAAACCUACCAUACAGCCCCAGGCGAUAUAUGUAUUCGCCCGGCGAGCAUAGCCAUUUCUAGUCUCGCUAAGUACGUGCCGGAGUUCGUUCCUUGGUACUUACUCUCGCCUUUUCCCCUUUCUCUUUUGCUUCCUUCCUUUUGUCGGCAACCGAUGGCCCGACUUUGACAGGUACGAGAAGACGACGUUAGCAAGGUUACCCUUCCGGCUUGGCCUGGGCAGGGUUAUGGACGCCAUUGGUUAUCUUUAGGACUCUUAGUCCAAUUUGUAUCUUGUCCGUACUCAGAUGUAUUCGAUCUUCUGAUGAUUUGGAUCUUUGUAUUGUAUAUUUGUAUUUUGACUCGUUGGAGUCGUUGUUGUAAUAUAUGUUUCUUGUGGGCUCUAUUGUAAUCCUGUUGUAAUGUUACCGCUCGUGUUAAUUCCUCUGGCAUCACGUGUGUGAUUCUUCGCGCACGUCGUGUCGGAGGGCGUCUCUGAAUCGAUAUCGUGCGGAUUUCGGCGGGAUCGCUGGAAUCCUCAUGGUACCGGUUCCGGGGCGUCACAAGG